rnacentral:rRNA from 1 species
UACAGAGGUCUCAAGCGUUGUUUCGGAUUCAUUGGGCGUAAAGGGUGUGUAGGUGGCGCCGUAAGUCGGGUGUGAAAUUUCGGAGCUUAACUCCGAAACUGCAUUCGAUACUGCGGUGCUUGAGGACUGGAGAGGAGACUGGAAUUCAUGGUGUAGCAGUGAAAUGCGUAGAGAUCAUGAGGAAGACCAGUGGCGAAGGCGGGGUCUCUGGACAGUUCCUGACACUGAGGCACGAAGGCCAGGGGAGCAAACGGG